CACAACCAUCACCACGUCAGCAACACUAAUAUGAUCCCUUUAUAUAGCGAGAAAUGGAGUUUGGGUUUUCACAAAUUCCUCACUUCCUUUAUUCCUAUCUUCCUCGAUAUCUCCUUGUAGCUUUCUACACAACGAUGGCUAAAUCUCAACGGUUUUCCAUGGAUCUGAAAUUCGGCUCAUCAGAUCUUUCGUUCCUUGGCGAGAUCUGCGUAUUCGUAUAACUUUUGAAGUCCCUUCGUGUUCGUCACUGUUGUUGAAUCACCCUAUACAAUUGGAUCGUUGCGAUGAUGGUAUCUCAUCGCUGCUUGCUUCAGUUUCAUUUGUUGUAGAGAAGAUUAUUGUAACGGAAGCGUUGCUGGCUUGUUGCUUCUCAUUAACGUCAAAUCUCUAUUCAUGUUGUGAAUUUAGAUUAUGUGAUUGUUGUUUGGGGGAUGAAGUUGUUCUGAAUAAUAUCUUUGUGAUCCGACCUUUGCCAUGGCAGGUGCGCUUGCAUGGCAGGUCCAAAAAAAUAUGAAUAAAAAGAAUAUUUUGUUGUUUUUGAGAGAGAUCGCACGGAAAUAGUCCGGGAUCUCUCUCUCGUGUGGUCUGUGUGAUCUUCUUCUCUCAUUUUUCUUUCGUUUUUUCUUUCGUUUUUUCUUCAUUACUCUAUCACGCACACUCAUCUACAAAGGUAAUGUGUAUUGGUAUUUACGUUAAACUUUAAUUUGCAUUGACAAGAUUGUUGAGAAAAGGUAUAUUAAGGAUAGUUUAAUAUUAACGAAUUCA